CACACCUUCAAAGAAGUACACUGCUACAAACGUCCCGGCCUGUCAGUUCUGACAGUCUGCCAACUGAUGGAGCCUGAUAGGAAAUGGUAGAACAGUCUCCCUAACUAAGUGCGACAACGUACUCACUUCCCACUGAGGCUCAAAGAGAAUAAACGAAUGGAACCCUCGUAUGUGUCAGGCCAAGGAGAUACCUGCAGCCCUGUGGCCUGGGACGGCUGUGGUGUCCCUGGGCUCUCCAGUUUUCAGAGGAGUGGGAGGGUUUGGGAUGAAACAUGGUGGCAGGCGAGUUCUCCCUGAAGAGAACACCAGGACAUGUUGUGAGCAGUUCCAGGUUCCUGUGAGUGUCCCAACUGCAUGCUGGCACAGAGAGGGAACAUCUGCUGGCUUGGCCAGGCCAGGCGGAUCAGGCUCCAGAUCCAGAGAGAACCAUCGGAUGGCUGCAGAUAUGGGCACCCCUCGGACUGUGUAUGUUUGUUCAGGUGGAAUCAUGCAUGCAUGCAUGCAUGCAUUGUUAAGUGACUCCAACGAUCAUCGCUUUACCAACGUCUCCAGAAGGACGCACAGACCCAGAGCUGCAAAAUGGGCCCUGGGAACAGAGCUCAUCUGCAUCCCCUGACAAGGCACACCCGCCUCCAACCAAGCCUCAUUGGGCGAGGACAAAAGGGCCCCGGAUGAUCAUCUCUGGGGACAGGGAAUAAGGAGAGUGUGACGCCAAACCUCACUACCCGUGCUGAGGCAUCCAAAGCUACAACCUCAACCAGAGGUUUGAAUUGAAGUUUGACUUUUAAUGUGCUCCUACUGUGUUUUUGUUAAUAAAUGUCCCCAAGGCUGGUGGAAGCUGGUGUCAGGUUGCACUGGGACUGGAAGUGCCGUGGUGUGUGAGGGAGGUAGAGAUG